CACAAAUUUUAGUAAUUUCUUAAUGUUGAUUUGUUGGUGUAAAUAUGGUGCCACAAAAAUGUUUCAUGUAUGGUACCUUUCACAAAAAAUGUUCUAGUUAUACCUACAUAUAGACUUAUUUGGUAGAAGUGAAAUAUGCUUAAGACAUUUGAUACAGUUUUAGGGUGUGUUCAAGUUGGUUGGAGAGAUAUCCACAUUUAAAUCUGAACCAGAAAUUGUACUGUUCCAUUAGGAUAUUCAGGCUUAUAGGAAGGAAUCCGGAUUUGAGGGGUGUUAAAUAUUUUUGCAAUUUUUUUUCAAUGUCCAGAUAUAAAAAGUUCCUACUUUGCCCUCGUCAAUUUGGAAGCCAGCCACCCAAAUUGUUUUGGCAGAAGGCUGUUAAAUUGGAAUCCUAAUUUGGGGAAAGUAAGCAUAGAGCUGGUUUCGUCGGAUCGAGGAAGACAACGGAAACGAUGCAGUCUGAUAACCACAACGGGAAAGUGCUGUCUCCCUUAUCUGGUGCACCGAAUCUAUGUACACCCAACUCCGGAAAACGUUCAUGGGGUGGUAGCCCUAGUAGCAGGGCUAAUUGUGAUGUUGUGGCUGAGACGCCGAGGAACAAGUUUCGCAAGGGGGAAAGAUCGAGACGCAUGUGGACGGCAAAGGAGGAAAACCAACAAGUGCAUACCUAGGGUUUGUAGAAGGGGGGAAAAUCGGACCUGCCCCUUACUUGAAUGAUUUUAAUUCAGGGUGAUAAUAGUAAAUUACUCUCAUAUCUGGAGCCGGAAAUCGAGACAUGAAAUGAAUUACCACCUCCUGCUUCUGAUUUGGUUUAAGACCAUACCUGGAGUGAACAGAUCGGGCUCAGACAUUAACAACGGGCUUCCCUUGGAAUAGACUAUGAUCUUGAACAACCACAAAGUCCAUGAUAUAGGCCCAUUUCUGCUCAUAUCAGCCUACUUGAACAGGCCUUUAGUUGAGGAAGCGAUGAUACUGAAACUGCCGAAAAUAUCAACUAUGUUGGAAUAAUUUGGAAUUCGUAUUAGCACCAUGAAUCAAAAUAGUUGGUAUGUCAAAUUCGGCCAUCGGUAUCGUUUAAAGGAUGAAAUAGACUUUUUUAUUAUAUUUCCUGAUUUAUUUUAAAUUUCUGUAAUUUCAUUUAUUCACUCUAAGUUUCUACGGUUUCCAAACUACUUUGUAUAAAUGACUUAUUGUUUUGCAUUCAAUUUUGAUUUUAUUAAUAACUUUUAAAUUAAA